rnacentral:rRNA from 1 species
AUUGAACGCUGGCGGCAGGCCUAACACAUGCAAGUCGAGCGAGCGGCGGACGGGUGAGUAAUGUCUGGGAAACUGCCUGAUGGAGGGGGAUAACUCCUGGAAACGGUAGCUAAUACCGCAUCCCAUCAGAUGUGCCCAGAUGGGAUUAGCUAGUAGGUGGGGUAACGGCUCACCUAGGCGAAGAUCCCUAGCUGGUCUGAGAGGAUGACCAGCAAAACUGUAACGUAGACACGGGCCAGACUCCUACGGGAGGCAGCAGUGGGGAAUAUUGAACAAUGGGCGAAAGCCUGAUGCAGCCAUGCCGCGUGUGUGAAGAAGGCCUUCGGGUUGUAAAGCACUUUCAGCGGGGAGGCGUUACCCGCAGAAGAAGCACCGGCUAACUCCGUGCCAGCAGCCGCGGUAAUUC